rnacentral:rRNA from 1 species
UACGGAGGAUGCGAGCGUUAUCCGGAUUUAUUGGGUUUAAAGGGUGCGUAGGCGGGCUUUUAAGUCAGCGGUAAAAAUUCGGGGCUCAACCCCGUCCGGCCGUUGAAACUGGGGGUCUUGAGUGGGCGAGAAGAAGGCGGAAUGCGUGGCGUAGCGGUGAAAUGCAUAGAUAUCACGCAGAACCCCGAUUGCGAAGGCAGCCUUCCGGCGCCCUACUGACGCUGAGGCACGAAAGUGCGGGGAUCGAACAGG